CCCGGGUUUUUCCUUUUAACGGCAAUGAAAGCGGACACCAGUCAAUUUUGAAAUUUUGCCUUUUUGGAGUCCGAGUUGUAAUUUUUGAAGGCCGUUUUGGCGUCGGCAGCGGUCUAAUUUCCUUGAAACAGGACGUCACAGAGGGUGAGAAUCCCGUAUGUGGUCGCGUGCCUUUGCCGUGUAAAGCCCCUUUGACGAGUCGAGUUGUUUGGGAAUGCAGCUCUAAAUGGGAGGUAAAUUUCUUCUAAAGUUAAAUACUGGCCAGAGACCGAUAGCGCACAAGUAGAGUGAUCGAAAGAUGAAAAGCACUUUGGAAAGAGAGUCAAAAAGCACGUGAAAUUGUUGAAAGGGAAGCGCUUGCAGCCAGACUUGCCUGCGGUUGCUCAUCCGGGCUCUCGCCCGGUGCACUCUUCCGUAGGCAGGCCAGCAUCAGUUUGGGCGGCUGGAUAAAGGCCUCUGUCAUGUACCUUCCCUCGGGAAGGCCUUAUAGGGGAGGCGUAAUGCAGCCAGCCUGGACUGAGGUCCGCGCAUUUGCUAGGAUGCUGGCGUAAUGGCUGUAAGCGGCCCGUCUUGAAACACGGACCAAGGAGUCUAACAUCUAUGCGAGUGUUUGGGUGUCAAGCCCGGGCGCGCAAUGAAAGUGAACGGAGGUGGGAACCCUUUGGGGUGCACCAUCGACCGAUCCUGAUGUCUUCGGAUGGAUUUGAGUAAGAGCAUAGCUGUUGGGACCCGAAAGAUGGUGAACUAUGCUUGAAUAGGGUGAAGCCAGAGGAAACUCUGGUGGAGGCUCGCAGCGGUUCUGACGUGCAAAUCGAUCGUCAAAUUUGGGCAUAGGGGCGAAAGA
rnacentral:rRNA from 1 species